rnacentral:lncRNA from 7 species
CCUCUUAGAAUAAAAAGGGAGGAGAGGAAAAAAGAGGGAAAGAGAAGUCAUUACUUACCUGUGCUGAAGGAGACUACACUGCAAUAUACGCCAAGCCCAAGGACAGUGAAAUGGCACAGUGCAGGUGUCAUUGCAAAUGGCUGUAGAAAGUAUAAUCUUUUGUGAAGAACUCCAUGGCCUCCAUUUGUCAGUUGCCAAACUUACCUGCAAUGCAGAUAAGUAAACCAUGAAAAGAUCACUUACUAGUAAAGCCUUCCUCCACCUCUCCCUUCCCUCCCAUAGCCAGCACGUUCCCAUUGAACACGUUCACAGACUUAGCCAACUUGUCUCUAUUGUCUGUCUGGUAAUUCACCUAUGGAAAAGGAGGUAUCAGAUGCUGUUCAACAGAAACUUGAAACUGAGCCUAAGUGUAAACAGAGGGAGAGCUCCCUUCCGAACAAACACGAGACCAGGAGAAGCUGACAUACAUUACUAACAACAUAUGGAAAAGUUCGUACCUUUCUGAGCAGGCAGAUUUACAAGGUGGGGAAAAUGCAAGAGACAGCAUAUUCUGUUCCCGGCUGGCUGUACAGUUCAUCUCCAGAUCCCAGGUUCCUCCAUUAAAACCUACCCCCUGCCCCAGGGAACAGCCUGGCAAGCUCUUCUGACCCAACAGCACUGGCAGCUGUUUGGCAGCUUCUGAAGUGGAUCCAAUCUGUUUGCAGAGAGAUGUAACUUCUCAUCUUCAACACAACUAGACUUGACGUGAGGAGCAGCAAAAAGGAGAGUUCAGCAGUAUUCAAGACCACGUUGCUUAGUGACAUUCCCAUGCAAUCCAAGAGAUCUCAGAGCAGCUGGCAGAGUCGAUAAUGAACAGUAUUGUAUGAGAGAAACUUGAUGGGUAAAUUGAAGCACGGGCUUACUGGGCUAUGUUCUACCCUCAAGGCUGGUGUCAGAGCUGGGAAGAGACUCCAACUCCUUUCACCCCCGGGGGUAGCGAUAGCCAAAAUUUCUUCAGUGUUUCUUCCGUGGCAUGCCUCCAAGUGGAGUCUUCAUAAUAAAGCUGGACUAAUAUCCCAAAAUAAGUGCAGAUACCCUCACUGGAGUCUGUAAUUAUUCUCUCUGUUGCCUGGCUGCCCUCUCCCCUGCCUUCCCUCCGGGCCUGGACACCUGUGUUGUACUGUGAUUGCCUCUUCGUUUAUGGCAAACAAGUCUGGAUUCUCCCAUUGUAUAUUUUUAAGGCAUUUUUAACAAAUCUGGUU